ACCUCUCCCCGCCCCACCCUGGCCAAACACUGGCAGAGGGAGCUGGCGAACCAGACUGGCAGGCCUUCCUGGGGGCAGGCAGGCCUUAAGGAACCUCAGGAUAAGGAGGUGAAAUGGAGGUCACCGGGGCUCCCAGAAGCCAGACAGACGUGGAGAGGAGCUGCUCUCGGCUGGGACCUAAGGGCAGGCUCUGCCGCUGACAGCACCCGUUUACAGGAGGUAACUACUCUGAUAGACUCGGCAACAGCAGAACCAGCAGGCUCACGCUCAGACACACAGCAGCAGCUGGAAGAGCCGGGUCCAGUCCACUGCUCUGCCCCAAAGACUCACGGUGGCUGACAUGGGCCGAGCAGCUCCGGGCCCUGCCGGCCUUGGGGGCUUGGACUUCAGGGCCAAGCUUCAGGGGCUUUGCAGAAGUCUGGCAGAUGAUGGCAUUGCUGAACCUGUUCUUGACAGGCACUGUAUCUCUGUGAACUUCAUGACAACUCUGUUGGCAGACAUCACCAUUUCACAAAUGAGGAAACUGAGUGUCAGUGAGGUGAAGCAACUCAACCGCCAGUAGGGUUAAUUUAGCAAUCCUGUUAGAACCAGGGUUUGAGACCAGGAACGACAGUUCCAGAGGCUGAUUUCAUAGACACUGCUCUACUGUGGCAGGAAUAGCUGUCCCUGCUUCUAUCCGACAGAUGAAAAACCAUCCAGAAAUAACACGGUCCCUUUCACUAUCCCACUUUUAAGUUGGACCUCUUCCCAAACUUCAUUGACGGGGCUCCCUGCUGGCCUGUCAAGGGUUACAGGCUCUCCACGGUAAUCAUUGACUGCCACCUAAUGGCACCACAUGGAAUGUCACAUUCUAUCCCUUCAUCUAAUGCCAAAAUGCUAAAAUUGCUCUUCCCAUCUUCUUGCUUCAGGAUCCGUAAGAAUUACAGGUAAAUGUUAUUCCUAAUUUAUGAAUGAGGAAAUGGAGACCCAGGAGAGUGAGUUAAACAGAUUAUUGAAGGUAUACAGUAAGUAUUGUAUAGAAGUUAAGGAUCAGAAUCCUCGAUACCAUUUUCUGAAAGUGUGACUUGAGUAAGACAUUUUGUUAUUUAUUUUUGAUGGACAGCUAACCACCAUUGCCACAAUAACAAUUUUUUUCUGGCUUUAUUUACUAAACAGUUCUACCUUUACCCAUUAAUCUCCCAAUGUAGCUCUAUCAUAUGUCAAAGUUUGGUAUUUGAAUAAGGCUGUUCCUGGACUCUCUUUUCUAAUCCACUGGUCAAUUUGUCUAGCCCUAUGUCUGUACCAUAUACUACAGCUUCAUAAUAAAGUGAAGAUCCUUUUUCCUUGUGCUUCA